rnacentral:tRNA from 1 species
CUGCCGCUGCACGAAAAUUUAGGCAAAGAUAAGCAUGUAGAAAGCUUAUGAUUUCCUCGUUUGGACGAGGGUUCGAUUCCCUCCAGCUCCACAAAUAAUAUUGAUAAUCAGGUGUUUAUAUUGUUUACACCCCAAAAUGCACCCUGAAAUAAAAAUGAUAGUCUGAUUAUCAUUCUUUAUAUCAAAAGCUAUCUGCCUUUCUUAAAUAAAUUAACUAUUGUGAUGAUUUGUGAUAUUCUAUUUUAAUUUUUAUCAUUUUGUUUGUUCUUAUCAAGGCGAUUUCCUAUCUUUGAAACAUCAUUAGGGCUUGACUGGAAUUGACAGCGAGUUGGAAUGGUAUGUAAGCAUGCAGUGGGUCGGUAAUUUCCACUUAAAUAUCAGUUAUCAAAAUUUUAUCUGGCAACGAAAAUUAUGCUCUCGCUGCUUAAUCGAAGUAUAGUAGAUUAGCUUUAUUUCCGCCAAAGUGGUAGAAACGAGAUGUCACUCAAAAGCUCUUGUUCCGAAGCGUUUGAUAAAGUG